GGCUGACCCUCUGCUAGAUUCUUCAUGAAACCAGACUUCACCAAUAGAAAGUCUCCAUCUGAGCUUCUACAGCAGAUGACUUUCGCCUGUAGCAUCAGCACCUAAGGUAUCCGACAACAGUAGACUCGUCAGCAGCCUCGAAAAUAUUCGAGCUUCCCCUAGAUCGGCAGGAUAGAGAGCCAUCCCUCUCCAUUAGACAUCCCAGCCGAGCUCUAGCCGACAGAUCCGAACUCUCUGACAAGUCACGACAAUGGCCACCACCCUGCACCAUUCUCUACAACGGAUUCCACGUGGCUCCACUACUCUCUGGCAAGUCACAACAAUGGACACCACUCCACUCUUCGGGCUCUACCACUCUCUCGUAAGUUGCGACAACGGACACCACCCCACUCUCCGUAACAAACUCCACGUGGCCCUGAACGACCCCUGACGCCACUACUCUACGUAACAAACUCCAUGCAGCUCUGAACAGUCCACUACCAGGCGAUUACAGACGUCACGGUCAAUCAGUUAUGCUCUCCGUCUAUAAAAAGG
rnacentral:lncRNA from 1 species